GAUGAACGCUAGCGGCAGGCUUAAUACAUGCAAGUCGAGGGGCAGCAGCUUUAUAGCAAUAUAGAGGCUGGCGACCGGCAAACGGGUGCGGAACACGUACACAACCUUCCUUUAAGAGGGGGAUAGCCCAUAGAAAUGUGGAUUAAUACCCCGUAACAUAUCGGUGUGGCAUCACACUGUUAUCAUAGUUUCGACGCUUGAAGAUGGGUGUGCGGCUGAUUAGGUAGUUGGCGGGGUAAAGGCCCACCAAGCCUUCGAUCAGUAGCUGAUGUGAGAGCAUGAUCAGCCACACGGGCACUGAGACACGGGCCCGACUCCUACGGGAGGCAGCAGUAAGGAAUAUUGGUCAAUGGACGCAAGUCUGAACCAGCCAUGCCGCGUGAAGGAUGAAGGUCCUCUGGAUUGUAAACUUCUUUUAUAGGGGGCGAAAAAAGGGAAUUCUUUCUCACUUGACAGUACCCUAUGAAUAAGCACCGGCUAACUCCGUGCCAGCAGCCGCGGUAA
rnacentral:rRNA from 1 species